AACGAACGCUGGCGGCGCGCCUAAUACAUGCAAGUCGAGCGAGAAGACGUAGCAAUACGUUUGUAAAGCGGCGAACGGGUGAGGAAUACAUGGGUAACCUACCCUCGAGUGGGGAAUAACUAGCCGAAAGGUUAGCUAAUACCGCGUACGCUCCUUGGACUUCGGUUCAGGGAGGAAAGCGAUACCGUGGGUAUCGCGCUCUUGGAUGGGCUCAUGUCCUAUCAGCUUGUUGGGAGGUAACGGCUCACCAAGGCUUCGACGGGUAGCUGGUCUGAGAGGACGAUCAGCCACACUGGCACUGCGACACGGGCCAGACUCCUACGGGAGGCAGCAGUAAGGAAUAUUGCGCAAUGGGCGAAAGCCUGACGCAGCGACGCCGCGUGGGGGAUGAAGGUCUUCGGAUUGUAAACCCCUUUCGGGAGGGAAGAUGGAACGAGCAAUCGUUCGGACGGCACCUCCAGAAGCAGCCACGGCUAACUUCGUGCCAGCCGCCGCCGU
rnacentral:rRNA from 1 species